rnacentral:rRNA from 1 species
UCGAGGGCACCCAGCAAUGGGUGACCGGCGAACGGGUGCGUAACACGUGAGCGACCUACCUCCUCGUGGGGGAUAGCCGGCCCAACGGCCGGGUAAUACCGCAUACGCUUCCCCCGGGGCAUUCCGGGGGAAGGAAACUUCCGGGGCGGGGGGAGGGGCUCGCGGCCUAUCAGCUAGUUGGCGGGGUAACGGCCCACCAAGGCGGUGACGGGUAGCUGGUCUGAGAGGAUGGCCAGCCACAUUGGGACUGAGAGACGGCCCAGACUCCUACGGGAGGCAGCAGUGGGGAAUCUUGCGCAAUGGCCGCAAGGCUGACGCAGCGACGCCGCGUGGGGGAGGAAGGGCUUCGGCUCGUAAACCCCUGUUGCCCGGGGCGAACAAUGGGUUUCGACCCAUCUGACGGUACCGGGUGAGGAAGCACCGGCUAACUCCGUGCCAGCAGCCGCGGUAAUACGGAGGGUGCGAGCGUUG